CCUUUCUGGCUUCCCACGAGACGAGGGAAGGUCGAAGCAGCUCGAACAGGUCAUUUCUUAGCCCGCUCUCUUGGUUCCUCCAUAGACGAAAUUUAUCCGAGUACUAUGAUAUUCCGUUGUUUUUUGUAAUGAAAAUUUUAUUCUGAAUUUCAAUUCAUCUCAUGUUGUUCUGAUUUAUUUUGAGAAAUCAAUUCGAUAAUCGGAUAGUUUAGGAUGAAAUCUCAUUUUGAAACCUGGAGAUGCGCUCGAAUUUCACCUUCGACAGCAAGAGUAUUCUGUUUCCCUGUGGUUGAUUGAUGAUUUGGUUCAGCACUUUGAGGGGAUUGAGUGUUACUCAUCUAUGCCUGAAAUUCUCAUAGGGUAUGCUUCGUUUAAUUUGAGUAACGUGGGGAAGGAAUUCUUCGGCUAAGUCCCCUGCUGAUAUUUAAAUAAUUUCCCCCCAAGAAUCUUACCCACAUUCAAUUUCAAAUUUCCGUUUUUAAAUUUUAAUAUUCAAAGAGCCCUGAUGUUUCUUUCGAUUUCAUCCAACAAAAGUCUAGAAGAUGUGGGUUCGCUGGGCACGUUUUAAUGGUUAUUUGAGAAGAUAACAGUGAUGGAUUUGUUACGAUGAGUGAAUGGUGAAAUAUAGGGGGCCAUUCUGUGCAAAGCUGAGUUCAUUUCUCUUGCAUGUUUUUGCAGCCUUUUGGACUUGUAUAAACAUAUGAGAAUAUUGUUUGGGUCACUCACUACCCAUGGUUAUCCACACUAGUCAAUUGAUAAGAGAGCAAUGUCCGUGGAACAUUAAUGUACUUGUUAUUAAGAAGAAAGGCCUAGUGUACUCUAAAUUUUAGACGAGAAAGAUAUCAUAAUUUAUUGGCUUUACUCUGUUUCCUCUCUAAAUCUCUCUAACAUUAUAUUUGAGCCACUGCUCUAGCAAGCUUGUUCUGAUCCUUGUCAACCAAGGCCUUAGAUUGGCAGAACUGUGAAAUAGAUAUACCUUCAACGGUCCUACGCAUCCUGAUCUCCUAGUUCUGGCACGUGUGAGCAAAUCAUCUUCUGCUAUAGGAUGAAGAAGCCAAUUUUUAUCAUGCUCGAGUAUAACAGAGAUCUAUUUUAAUAGCUCAGGUGUUUGAUGGUCCAAGAGGAAUCACCCAUUGAAAAAUAUAACUGAGAGCAACAAUGGUGGUUGUGUGAGAAGUUCGCAGCAAAAGAUCAUGUUGUCUCGAAGAGGGGACUGAUGCCAUGGUGUGAGAUCUCGAAAGAGGAAGCAUGGACUGCCGGGAACAAGCUGCCACUCUUGUGCAAGGUUUUCUGAUGAAAAGAAGCAAACCCUAUGAGGAAGAUAUUCCCAAUUGAUAGGAAGUGCCAUCUGACGCUCGAAAAAGCAGUGAUUUCCCAUUGAGUUUCAACUUUCUCAUCCUUCUAUAGCCAAAAAAUUGAAAAGUAAACAAUUUCUUAUCCUCUAACCUCAACCCUUAACUUGGUUUAUUACCUCGCCUUACAAUGGCAUUGUGGGGCAUGACAACAUUAGAGAUAAUUGUGGCCUUGGUGACUUGCUAUGAGUGUGAAAUGUGAUUUGAAACAGGAUUUUUCGGGUUUUCCUUAUUUGUUGUUGUUGUUGUGCGUUUUUUUUGCUUGAUCAAUGUUGUGUGUGAUUUGAGUGUACCCUGGUUAACCGUACUCUACUCAUCUAUUGGUUCUCAAGGUAAGUCCAAAUGUCCCAUCUCCGGUAGCCAUUAGCGUAAUGACCGGUGAUGCUAUGAUUGGACGUAGAAUAAGAUCAUUCCAUUUCAUAUCCUGUUAGUAACUGUGGUUCCUAUUUUCUUUGGAUCCACGGUGUUGAUAUCUAGGAUUACAUAUUUGUCUGGAAAUUUUUUUUGUUCUUUCCUUUCUCAGUAUAGUGUCUAUUUCAAAUAUGCUUCUAGAAGUCGAUGAGACUUAUGUUAAAUUUGGAGUUGCCAGAUGAAUGAACAAUUUACAUUGAUGUGAAAAUUUGUUGUGGACUGAGGCUUCACAUUAGUUGCUUGUGGAAAUCUGAUGACCUUAUAAUUAACCAUACUCUUCUACUGGUUUUUAAGUCCAAAUGUCCCAUCUCCGGUAGCCAUCAGAGUAAUGACCGGUGAUGCUAUGAUUGGACGCAGAGCAAUACUAUUCCCUUUCACAUCAUAAGGAACUGUGGUUCCUAUUUCCUUUGGAUCCAUGGUGUUGAUUUUUGGGAUUACAUAUUUGUCAUGAUUUCUUUUGUAAUUGGUUUCCAGUGCUGAUGUACAUUUCUGGAAGUCAAUAAGGAUCAAGUUAAAUUCUGAAUUGCCGGCUGAACAAUUUACCUUGAUGUUAAUUUCUGGUUGAUUGAGACUUCACCGUUCACUAUUUAUUUAUUUAUUUUUAUUUUUGUGUUGUUUGGGAGUAAAACUAUAAUGAUAAAACAUCGACAUUCAUCUU